GACGAACCGUGCGAACGUUAUUCGGAAUCACUGGGCUUAAAGCGCGUGUAGGCGGGUGGGUACGUCGGCCACUGAAAGCCCCCGGCUCAACCGGGGAAGGGGUGCCGAAACGGCCGGCCUGGAGGGGCGUAGGGGGACCUGGAACUUCCGGUGGAGCGGUGAAAUGCGUUGAGAUCGGAAGGAACGCCCGUGGCGAAAGCGAGGUCCUGGACGCCAACUGACGCUGAGACGCGAAAGCCAGGGGAGCGGAACG
rnacentral:rRNA from 1 species